rnacentral:rRNA from 1 species
UAGGGAAUAUUGCGCAAUGGGGGAAACCCUGACGCAGCGACGCCGCGUGAGUGAUGAAGGCCUUCGGGUCGUAAAGCUCUGUCAGCAGGGAAGAAUCGGUUUCGUUUUAAUAGAGCGGAGCCUUGACGGUACCUGCGGAGGAAGCACCGGCUAACUACGUGCCAGCAGCCGCGGUAAUACGUAGGGUGCAAGCGUUGUUCGGAAUUACUGGGCGUAAAGCGCGUGUAGGCGGUUUAUUAAGUCGGUUGUGAAAUCCUGCAGCUUAACUGCAGAAUUGCAUCCGAAACUGGUAGACUUGAGUACGGGAGAGGGUAGUGGAAUUCCUAGUGUAGUAGUGAAAUACGUAGAUAUUAGGAGGAACACCAGUGGCGAAGGCGGCUACCUGGACCUGUACUGACGCUGAGAUGCGAAAGCGUGGGGAGCAAACAGG